GCCACUUCUCGGAGACAACAGUCUUCUGUACAGUUCUGACGAUAAUUGGAGAAAAAGAAGAAAAUAUUUAGCUCCACAUGUACAGGUUUGGAAACUGAAAGAUGAUCAAAAUGUAUUUAUGGAGCAUUCAAACGUCUUAGUCGAAAAACUCAAACAAUUGCAAAAGAAUGAAAUAUUCGAUAUUUUGGAAUGGAUGAAAUAUUGCACUCUCGAUAUAAUUGCAGACAUAGCAGUAGGAGUUUCUCUACAUUCUCAGACUACGAACGAUCAAGAAUAUGUGUCUGCAAUACACAGGUAAGGAAAAUUUCGUUCCAGAUAUAUUUCUUCAUUAUCUAUGUUAAAUAAUAUAAUGUCACUUUUUAUCUGAUGAAAGUUUUGUAAUGUUCGUGUUAAUGUCGGUAGAAACAAUACGAAAUAAUCCAAAUUUUCAUUGUUUAUCAAUUAACCGAAUAUUAUAAGUUUGUAUAUUAUAAAUGAAGUGUGUUUGCUAUACGUGCUGAUGGUAAUCAAAAGUUGUUAGAACAAUGGAUAGAGAGAAGUAUCGAGAUUCUAAACGAAUACAACGUGUUCAUUAAGUACAGUACGUAUGAUAGAUUUUCAAAUUAAUUUACUUAUCAGCUAUAAUGUUUUAAACGUAAACUUCACGUAUUUCGUACACAGGAGAGACAAUUUGUAAGUUGAACGACAAAAGUUUGACAGGUCAACUUUCCGCAAAGCAUAUCGUUAUCGCAAUAAAUUACUACUAUUCAUCCAUCUUUGUGUCUUUCUCCAGUUGCCUCAGUACUAUAGGAAAAGUCUUUAUGAUAGCGAAAACAUAACGUUUAAACUUUUAAUCACAAUAUAAAAAUAUACAGUCUAUCAACUUAUUUCUAACAUUACUCAAAAAUAAAUUAAUUACGAUAUGAAAUAAUUACAAAAUUUCCAUUUUUGCA